CCCGCUCAGAAACUUAAAGGAAUUGACGGGGCCCGCACAAGCGGUGGAGCAUGUGGUUUAAUUCGAUGAUACGCGAGGAACCUUACCUGGGCUCAAAUGUAUGUUGACGUAUUCUGAAAGGGAUACUUCUUCGGACAAUAUACAAGGUGCUGCAUGGUUGUCGUCAGCUCGUGCCGUGAGGUGUCGGGUUAAGUCCCAUAACGAGCGCAACCCCUAUCAUUAGUUGCCAUCAGGUCAAGCUGGGGACUCUAAUGAAACUGCCUACGCAAGUAGUGAGGAAGGUGGGGAUGACGUCAAAUCAGCACGGCCCUUACGUCCAGGGCUACACACGUGCUACAAUGGCCGGUACAAAGGGCAGCUACCUGGUGACAGGAUGCUAAUCUCAAAAGCCGGUCUCAGUUCGGAUCGGAGUCUGCAACCCGAUUCCGUGAAGCUGGAAUCGCUAGUAAUCGCGCAUCAGCCAUGGCGCGGUGAAUACGUUCCCGGGCCUU
rnacentral:rRNA from 1 species